rnacentral:lncRNA from 1 species
AAGAAGCUAGAAAAAAACAGAGCAAAAACAGAAGCUAUACGUGUGUGAGAGAGUGAGAGAGAGUAGCCGUCAACCCGACCAGAAAACCCGACCCGGAACCCGCAACCCGCAACCUUGACCCGACCAUAUCUCCCAUUUCCGGCCACCGUUUCGGCUGAGCUUGGUACCAAUCUGAAGCUUAGAAGCCGACCGUCGUUCCCCUGCCAUCCUCGCCGCCGAAAACCAACCGGAACGCCGGCGAUCGAAGCUUGAAACCCGCGACUAUUUCACUUUGUUCCGCCAGGAUUUUCGCCGAUUUUGGGUGACACCACCAGUUGGAUUUUGUUCCCCACGACUCCCUCUUCCAUUUCCGACCAUCCAUAGGCACCGAGAGUCAUUGUUUUGCCGCCGGUCGAUUGUUGGAAUUCACGACUGCCGAGCUCGAUUCCGGCGCCGUUGCCGCGCGUUGGAGCUCACCGCCGGUACCAUUGAACUCAGCGUGAUUGGAACUUUCAGAUUUGAGCUUCCUAGCCAGCGUUGACCAAUUUUCCGUGACCGUUGACCGGCAAGGGCAUUUUGGUAAUUUCACACUAUGAGGGCAAUUUUGUAAUUUCUGAGCCUGUGGAUAUUUUAGUAAUUCCUAGAGUUGAGGAUUGGGUGUAAUUACGAUUCCGAGGGUAAUUCGGUGAUUUACGAUUUCGGAGCAUGUUAAUGAUUUACGGACUCAAGGGCAUUUUGGUAAUUUUAUGGACACGGGAGUUGUCAAUUAUGGAUAGAUGUUCGUUUCGAGUUUAUUGCAUAAAUUGAGUCGUAAUUUCGAUUUACGGAAAAUACUUAUGUCGUUUCCUUGAUUUAGGAGGAUCUGCGAGCCAGAACCGAUCCGCGGACGUGGACGAUAACCGACUGUGAACACCAUCACUGUGAGUGGAAUAUACAAAACUUAUUUUCAUAGUUAAUUAUGAUAGUAAAAUAUGUUUGCGAAAUAAGUAUUUUAAAUGUUCUGAUUUAAUGAUUUCUUCGAAAUGGAUUUUAUUCACACAUUGAUAUUUUAUUAAAUGUUUGGUUAAUGAUUUUAUGUAUCGACUUUGAAUAAGCAUGAUAGUAUUUUAAAGAUGAGAAACGUGGAUUCAAAUGUGGUAUGAUUUAAAGUAUGAUUAAAAUGUAUGUGACUAUGAGUAUAAUGAUUGUUUUUGAAAUCAUUAGACAGUACCCUUCCCCUCCAGAUACAGUGAUACAUGUCAUAUGAGAUGAGAGGCCUUUGGGGCCCAUCUGAACACACAUAGAGGCUUUGGGCCGUGUGUUUGGACGCUUUUACCUUUUGGGGGCAUAUGCAUGCAGUAUGAUGAUUAUAGAGAUACAGAUAUGAGAUACAGACAGAUAUUGAGAUACAUAUGAUACAGAUAUUGAGAUACAGAUGAUACAGAUGAGUUACAGGCCUUUGGGGCCCGUCUGAGUACACAUAGAGGCUUUGGGCCGUGUGCUUGGGCAUUUUAUUAUGCAUGCACAGAUAUGAUGAGAUAUGAUGAGAUAUGAGAUGGUAUUUCCCUAUCUAUCCGUGUAGCUCCGGGGCGUGACGUUACCCAGAUAGUACGUCAUUGCCCGUCCGUUGAGGUCCGGAUAUGAUGAGAUUAUUUCCCGGGGUACUUGUUUGGUGACGAUUUUCAGAUUUGUGAAUUCUAUAUGAUAUUGUGAUAUGAUUUCCAUGGUUAGUAAUCUGAUUUAAAUGUUUAAUGAUUUAUUAUUGGUUUCUCGCUUAUGGUUUAAUGAAAUCGUAUUUGGAAAUGAGAUGAUUAUUUCUUUUAAAGUAAGAAUUAAUUUUCAAAACUACUAUCCACUCACUGAGUUUUAAACUCACCCCGUUUUUAUUAUAUUUUUCCCCCCUCACUAGGAGGUUGCAGGUACACCAGACCGACCUAGCAACUGGAAAUAUAUUUUGAAUCUUGGCCACGUGAUGGUGUUAGAAGAUAUAGAUGUUUUUGUUAGGACAUCUUGGUCAUCUUGUUCUUUUGAGAUUGUAUAAUUUUGUUAUAUUCUUCUUUUGGGAUUAAGAAUAAACUGAGAUAUUAAUAUUAAUUAUAAUAUUAUCUUUUGAGACCCUGGAGAUAUAAAACUCAGCAUUUUAGUUGAGGAUGUUGAGCACUGGAGUUUGUUGUAUCUUGAAUUGUAUUGGGAGUGUUAUAUUCAUAUUUGUAGAUUGGGAGUGGUAUAUAUAUAAAGGAGACUCUGCCGAAUUUUCGGCAGAAUCUUUACGAAUAGAAUUAUUAUCAAGUCUGUUUUGAUGAGACUAGAUAGACUCACCUGGGGGGAUUCGAGGCGGGUCGUUUCAAACAAAUUAUAUGCUGCUCUGCUCGUAACCUUGCAAUCUUGCUGCAAGUUCUUAAAAAAAAAAAACCUCAAAUUAUCAAAUACACAAAGUGUUUACCAGCAUUCUGAAUUUUAGCCGUUAAGUAGUUCCUUUUACUGUCAAAAUCAAAAUACACAAGAUUGAUCAGAAAGCGGCCUACAUGGUUCCUGAAGUUGCUGCUGAAGGUAAUAUAUCUCUUGAUGCUAAAAAAACAUUUACGUGCUGCGAUAAUUAAAAUCACAAGAAAAAUUAUCAAAUACACAACUCGCUGAUCAUCGGCAGUCUGCUGAUAAUCAAAAAACUGAGUAACACGGUUAAACCAUUCUGUAGGAUCACCACCUGAAUAUCGCGGAAAUUCGAGCUUGGCUACUUGUGGUGGAAAUUGUUGUCGUUCCCCUUCACUCUCCCCUCGGCCUGGACGUAAAGAUCCUGCCUGAUCUUGUUGGUUCAUAACUCCUUGAGAUAGGCUGAAUGACUCGACCAGUUUGCUAAUCAUUGCUUCCAAGUGGUGGAAUUUAUCGUUCAUGCCUUGUUCUAUCCGUUGUAUGUUAUUCUGCAUUCCACCGAGCUCCACUUCGACACGUUCAAUCCGCUCUUUGUUGGUUAACAUUGUUAACCCCUGCUCUGAUACCAAUGUUAGGUCUCGAUCAAAACACGAUAACAAUGAAUUAUACUUGUUCUGUUUAUGGUAAGAACAACAUAAUUUCUUUGAACAAUUACUCGAUGCUUUAUUCCUCAUAGCUGAAGCUUAUUUAUAGUAGUUAUACAAAGACUACUUAUGAUUCCAACAAUCUCGGCUCAAAUCAAUUUAAAUCAAAUAAAGCAAUUAAUAAAUAUCAACUAAAAAACAGAAAACAAAUCAAACUUUAUUUGCUUCACCGUGCGAUCUGCAACAACCCCUUGACGUGGUCUUCCCUUUAUUUGCUCAGCUAUUUUACUUUAUAAGUAAACAUCACGUUUAAACUAGACUUGUAUGGAUAUGCAUGUGACGAGUACGUGAGAUGAAGUUCAUGCAUGAACAUGCAUGGUCAAACAAAGUCCACAUAUCUGUUACUAGGCUUAGAAGCCCUAGCUGACCUCCUUGGUUGUUUAUCAAAUUCUGCAUUCUUCAACUCUGCUUUCGUCUUCUUCAUCAUUCAUUCUUUCCGAUUGAAAUCCAAGAAAACGAUUGCUUGCAACAUUCAUUCAUUUUAAAGGCUUCAAAGAGAAAAGGGUUUUUGUGAAUUUUGAAUUCUUGAUUUUGAUGUGUACUAUUCACAGAAAACGAACCGCAGAAGAAUCUCUACUACCUUGGGCAAGUUUGGGCAAGAUCCUCUGCCAUUACCAAUUCUGAUUCUUGUAACGCUGGCCAUGAUGAUCUUUCUAGUCACCGCCCCUCGGAUUUUCUCUGUUGAGUUGAGCAUUGUAAAACCCACAGAAGUCAAAACCCAUUUGGUGCUUCCGGCCGUAUUACUUGUUCUAGUAAUGCUGGUUCAAUUCCUAUCUUCAUCACAAUUUUGGCUCUCGGAGGGAUUCUUUCAGUUCAGGGUUACUGCUUUGAUUAUGUUGUUAG